rnacentral:rRNA from 1 species
AGUGAACGCUGGCGGUAGGCCUAACACAUGCAAGUCGAACGGCAGCACAGUAAGAGCUUGCUCUUACGGGUGGCGAGUGGCGGACGGGUGAGGAAUACAUCGGAAUCUACUUUUUCGUGGGGGAUAACGUAGGGAAACUUACGCUAAUACCGCAUACGACCUACGGGUGAAAGCAGUGGAUCUUCGGACCUUGCGCGAUUGAAUGAGCCGAUGUCGGAUUAGCUAGUUGGCGGGGUAAAGGCCCACCAAGGCGACGAUCCGUAGCUGGUCUGAGAGGAUGAUCAGCCACACUGGAACUGAGACACGGUCCAGACUCCUACGGGAGGCACAAGUGGGGAAUAGUGGACAAUGGGCGCAAGCCUGACCCAGCCAUACCGCGUGGGUGAAGAAGGCCUUCGGGUUGUAAAGCCCUUUUGUUGGGAAAGAAAAGCAGCAGGUUAAUACCCCGCUGUUCUGACGGUACCCAAAGAAUAAGCACCGGCUAACUUCGUG